UGGGGAUGGUCGUCCUCUUCGACCGAGCGCGCAGCUUUGGGAGGGACGCACAUGGAGGGGUGAGGGAGGAAGGGGACGCCUGCCUAGCCAGCCAGAUCAGCCGAAUCAACCCUGGCGAUCAAUGGGGUGACAGAUAGAUCGGAAGAACACA